UUUUAGCUCACCUGAGCACGAAGUGCUCAAAGGUGAGCUUUAGUGAUCACCCUGUGUCCGGCGUCCGUCGUCCGUCCGUCCGUCCGUCGUCAACAAUUUGACUGUUAACACUCUAGAGGUCACAUUUUUGACCCAAUCUUAAUGAAACUUGGUCAGAAUGUUACCCUCAAUAAAAUCUUGGACGAGUUCGAUAUUGGGUCAUCUGGGGUCAAAAACUAGGUCAUCAGGUCAAAUCAAAGGAAAAGCUUGUUAACACUCUAGAGGUCACAUUUUUGGCCCAAUCUUAAUGAAACUUGGUCAGAAUGUUACCCUCAAUAAAAUCUUGGACGAGUUCGAUAUUAAGUCAUCUGGGGUCAAAAACUAGGUCAUCAGGUCAAAUCAAAGGAAAAGCUUGUUAACACUCUAGAGGUCACAAUUUUGGCCCAAUCUUAAUGAAACUUGGUCAGGAUGUUACCCUCAAUAAAAUCUUGGACGAGUUUGAUAUUGGGUCAUCUGGGGUCAAAAACUAGGUCACCAGGUCAAAUCAAAGAAAAAGCUUGUUAACACUCUAGAGGUCACAUUUUUGGCCCAAUCUUAAUGAAACUUGGUCAGAAUGUUACCCUUAAUAAAAUCUUGGACGAGUUCGAUAUUUGGUUAUCUGGGAUCAUAAACUAGGUCACCAGGUCAAAUCAAAGGAAAAGCUUGUUAACACUGUUGAAGCCGCAUUUAUGACUGUAUCUUCAUGAAACUUGGUCAGAUUGUUAAUAUUGAUGAUCUUAAGGUCCAGUUUGAAUCUGGGUCAUGUAGGAUAAAAAAACUAGGUCACCAAGCCAAAUCAAAUGAAAAGCUAGUUUACACUAGAGGCCACAUUUAUGACCAUACCUUAAUGAAACUUGGUCAAAUCUUGAUGAUCUAUAGCUCAAGUUCAAAUCUGGGUUAGGUGGGGUCAAAAACUAGGUCACUAGGUCAUAUCAAAGGAAAAGCUUGUUAACACUCUAGAGGCCACAUUUAUGACUAUAUCUUCAUGAAACUUAGUCAGAAUGUUAAACUUGAUGAUCUUUAGGGCAAUUUUGAAUCUGGGUCAUGUCGGGUCAAAAACUAGGUCACGGGGGUCAAAUAAAAGGAAUAGUUAGUUAACACUUUAGAGGCCACAUUUAUGACCAUAUCUUAAUGAAACUUGGUCAGAAUGUUAAUCUUGAUGAUCUAUAGGUCAAGUUUAAAUCUGGGUCAGGUGUGUUAAAAAACUAGGUCACUAGGUCAAAUCAAAGGAAAAGCUUGUUAAGACUCUAGAGGCCAGAUUUAUGACUGUAUCUUCAUGAAACUUAAUCAGAAUGUUAAUCUUGAUGAUCUUUAGGUCAAGUUCGAAUCUGGGUCAUGUGGG